UGUAGCGACCGACCCCUAACCUUUCCCAGUUAGGUUUGAUCUCAGCCCUUAACCUCAGUCAGUUGUUCUGUUGACCGCACCUAAGUGCUCAGUCUUCCGCCAGUUCCGACCCCUGAGAUCCGACCCCUACUGCUUCGUUCCUUUCCCGACCCUGGCGAGUUCAGCCCUCCGUCGGAUCCUGCUGAUCUUCCUCACCCGUCCGAUCUUU
rnacentral:lncRNA from 1 species